rnacentral:sRNA from 1 species
UGGUUGUACGGCCGAUCUGACUCUCCCUC